CACAGCGCCACAUCAGAGCUGCACCUCCAGGACCAGGACCUAAACAGAAGUAUCAGCUGCCCCGGACCUCCAGGACCUCCAGACGAGUCAUGAAGCUGCUCCUCCUGCUGGCAGUUGCUGCCAGCCAGAUGGAGCUCUCUGCCUCUCAGAUUGUUACUCUGAAUGCUCCUGGUCGAAACAUCAACAUCAGCACCAUGCCCAUCACUUUCUAUGGAAAAACAUACACAUGGGUACACGUGAGUACAAUGAACCCCUGCCUGUGUUUCCUGUAAUCAUCCAGCACACACACUGACUGCUGA